rnacentral:rRNA from 1 species
GAUGAACGCUGGCGGCGUGCCUAAUACAUGCAAGUCGAGCGAACGGACGAGAAGCUUGCUUCUCUGAUGUUAGCGGCGGACGGGUGAGUAACACGUGGAUAACCUACCUAUAAGACUGGGAUAACUUCGGGAAACCGGAGCUAAUACCGGAUAAUAUUUUGAACCGCAUGGUUCAAAAGUGAAAGACGGUCUUGCUGUCACUUAUAGAUGGAUCCGCGCUGCAUUAGCUAGUUGGUAAGGUAACGGCUUACCAAGGCAACGAUGCAUAGCCGACCUGAGAGGGUGAUCGGCCACACUGGAACUGAGACACGGUCCAGACUCCUACGGGAGGCAGCAGUAGGGAAUCUUCCGCAAUGGGCGAAAGCCUGACGGAGCAACGCCGCGUGAGUGAUGAAGGUCUUCGGAUCGUAAAACUCUGUUAUUAGGGAAGAACAUAUGUGUAAGUAACUGUGCACAUCUUGACGGUACCUAAUCAGAAAGCCACGGCUAACUACGUGCCAGCAGCCGCGGUAAUACGUAGGUGGCAAGCGUUAUCCGGAAUUAUUGGGCGUAAAGCGCGCGUAGGCGGUUUUUUAAGUCUGAUGUGAAAGCCCACGGCUCAACCGUGGAGGGUCAUUGGAAACUGGAAAACUUGAGUGCAGAAGAGGAAAGUGGAAUUCCAUGUGUAGCGGUGAAAUGCGCAGAGAUAUGGAGGAACACCAGUGGCGAAGGCGACUUUCUGGUCUGUAACUGACGCUGAUGUGCGAAAGCGUGGGGAUCAAACAGGAUUAGAUACCCUGGUAGUCCACGCCGUAAACGAUGAGUGCUAAGUGUUAGGGGGUUUCCGCCCCUUAGUGCUGCAGCUAACGCAUUAAGCACUCCGCCUGGGGAGUACGACCGCAAGGUUGAAACUCAAAGGAAUUGACGGGGACCCGCACAAGCGGUGGAGCAUGUGGUUUAAUUCGAAGCAACGCGAAGAACCUUACCAAAUCUUGACAUCCUUUGACAACUCUAGAGAUAGAGCCUUCCCCUUCGGGGGACAAAGUGACAGGUGGUGCAUGGUUGUCGUCAGCUCGUGUCGUGAGAGGUUGGGUUAAGUCCCGCAACGAGCGCAACCCUUAAGCUUAGUUGCCAUCAUUAAGUUGGGCACUCUAAGUUGACUGCCGGUGACAAACCGGAGGAAGGUGGGGAUGACGUCAAAUCAUCAUGCCCCUUAUGAUUUGGGCUACACACGUGCUACAAUGGACAAUACAAAGGGCAGCGAAACCGCGAGGUCAAGCAAAUCCCAUAAAGUUGUUCUCAGUUCGGAUUGUAGUCUGCAACUCGACUACAUGAAGCUGGAAUCGCUAGUAAUCGUAGAUCAGCAUGCUACGGUGAAUACGUUCCCGGGUCU